rnacentral:lncRNA from 1 species
GUGUUUUGGGGAUAUUUUGGGGAUAUUUUAAGGAUGUUUUGGGGAUGUUUAAGGGAUGUUUUGGAGAUGUUUUGGGGAUAUUUUGGGGACGUUCUGGGGAUGUUCUGGGGACGUUUUGGGGAUGUUCUGGGAAUGUUUUGGGGAUAUUUGGGGAUUGUCUGGGGAUGUUUUGGGGAUAUUUUGGGGACAUUCUGGGGAUGUUUCGGGGACGUUCCAGGGAUGUUUUGGGGAUGUUUUGGGGUUAUUUUGGGGACGUUUUGGGGCCGUUCCAGGGAUGUUUUGGGGACGUUCUGGGGACAUUCUGGGGAUGUUUUCGGGACGUUCUGGGGACGUUCUGGGGACGUUUUGGGGACAUUUCGGGGACAUUCCGGGGAUGUUUUGGCGACAUUCUGGGGACGUUCUGGGGACAUUCCGGGGACAUUUCAGGGACGUUUUGGGGACGUUUUGGGGACAUUCCGGGGAUGUUUUGGGGAUGUUUUGGGGACGUUCUGGGGACGUUUUGGGGACAUUCCGGGGAUGUUUUGGGGAUAUUUUGUGGAUAUUUUGGGGACAUUCUGGGGACGUUCUGGGGAUGUUUUGCGGAUAUUUUGGGGACAUUCUGGGGACGUUCCGGGGACGUUUCAGGGACGUUUCAGGGACGUUUUGGGGACAUUCUGGGGACGUUCCGGGGACGUUCUGGGGAUGUUUUGGGGACGUUUCAGGGACGUUUCAGGGACGUUUUGGGGACAUUUCGGGGACAUUCCGGGGAUGUUUUGGGGACAUUCUGGGGACAUUCCGGGGACAUUCUGGGGACAUUUUGGGGACAUUCCGGGGAUAUUUNNNNNNNNNNGACAUUCCGGGGAUAUUUUGGGGACGUUUUGGGGACGUUCCGGGGACAUUCCGGGGACGUUUUGGGGACAUUCUGGGGACAUUCUGGGGAUGUUUCCGGGCCGUUCCGGGGAUGUUCUGGGGACAUUCCGGGGCCGUUCCGGGGCCGUUCGGGCUCCGUACCUGCUCCUGCAGCGUGGCCGGGCCCCGCGAGCGCAGCCGCAGCGUCCCCCGGCCCGAGAGACCCUGGGGGGGCCCCCCCCCGGGCCGAGACCCCCCCGGAGCGGGGCCCGACCCCGUCUGGGGACACAGGGGGGACACGGGGGGGACACAGAGGGGACACGGGGGGGACAUUGGGGACAUUGGGGGAACAUUGGGGUCACACAGGGGUCACAGAGGGGUCAGAGAAGGACAGAGGGGACAGAGGGGACAGGGAGGGGACACA